AUUGAACGCUGGCGGCAUGCCUUACACAUGCAAGUCGAACGGCAGCGGACCUUCGGGUGCCGGCGAGUGGCGAACGGGUGAGUAAUAUAUCGGAACGUACCUUUCAGUGGGGGAUAACGUAGCGAAAGUUACGCUAAUACCGCAUAUUCUGUGAGCAGGAAAGCAGGGGAUCGCAAGACCUUGCGCUGAUUGAGCGGCCGAUAUCAGAUUAGCUAGUUGGUGAGGUAAAGGCUCACCAAGGCGGCGAUCUGUAGCGGGUCUGAGAGGAUGAUCCGCCACACUGGAACUGAGACACGGUCCAGACUCCUACGGGAGGCAGCAGUGGGGAAUUUUGGACAAUGGGCGCAAGCCUGAUCCAGCCAUGCCGCGUGAGUGAAGAAGGCCUCGG
rnacentral:rRNA from 1 species